CGGGACGUAGUUCAGAGGUCAGAGCACCCGCUUUGGGAGCGGAGAGUCGUGCGCUCGAAUCGCGCCGUCCCGACCA
rnacentral:tRNA from 1 species